UACGUAGGGGGCGAGCGUUGUCCGGAUUUACUGGGCGUAAAGAGCGCGUAGGCGGAGACUUAAGUGUGGCCUGAAAGCCCCCGGCUCAACCGGGGAGGGUGGCUGCAAACUGGGUUUCUAGAGGGGGAUAGAGGAAAGUGGAAUUCCGGGUGUAGCGGUGAAAUGCGUAGAGAUCCGGAGGAACACCAGUGGCGAAGGCGGCUUUCUGGACCAAUACUGACGCUGAGACGCGAAAGCGUGGGGAGCAAACAGGAUUAGAAACCCC
rnacentral:rRNA from 1 species